rnacentral:ncRNA from 21 species
AGAUGAGGUAGUACUAAAGGUUGUGCUAAAGUACCGCCGUCCGACGCAGGGAACCCCGUGAGAAUCGGGGACUGACGCGCAGCGGUAACGCAGACGGGCGAGUAGCAAGCCACUGGGAACAACCCGGGAAGCGCUCGUUCGGAUGAUGCCAAGUCCGAAAACCUCCCGGACCACACUUACCCGAC